GAUCAUGGCUCAGGAUGAACGCUAGCGGCAGGCUUAACACAUGCAAGUCGAGGGGCAGCAUGAACCGACCUUCGGGAAGGUUUGAUGGCGACCGGCGCAAGGGUGCGUAACGCGUGAGCAACUUGCCCGUUUCUGGGGAAUAACCGGUGGAAACGCCGACUAAUACCCCAUGGCAUCACAUCAAGGCAUCUUUUGUGAUUAAAGAAAUUCGGAUAAGGAUAGGCUCGCGUGACAUUAGCUAGAUGGCGGGGUAACGGCCCACCAUGGCGACGAUGUCUAGGGGUUCUGAGAGGAAGGUCCCCCACACUGGAACUGAGACACGGUCCAGACUCCUACGGGAGGCAGCAGUGAGGAAUAUUGGUCAAUGGUCGAAGGACUGAACCAGCCAUGCCGCGUGAAGGUGACGGCCCUAUGGGUCUUAAACUUCUUUUGUAAGGGAGCAAUAAGUCCUACGUGUAGGACGAUGAGAGUACCUUACGAAUAAGCAUCGGCUAACUCCGUG
rnacentral:rRNA from 1 species